rnacentral:rRNA from 1 species
CAGCAGCCGCGGUAAUACGUAGGGUGCAAGCGUUAAUCGGAAUUACUGGGCGUAAAGGGCUCGCAGGCGGUUUCUUAAGCCUGAUGUGAAAGCCCCCGGCUCAACCGGGGAGGGUCAUUGGAAACUGGGAAACUUGAGUGCAGAAGAGGAGAGUGGAAUUCCACGUGUAGCGGUGAAAUGCGUAGAGAUGUGGAGGAACACCAGUGGCGAAGGCGACUCUCUGGUCUGUAACUGACGCUGAGGAGCGAAAGCGUGGGGAGCGAACAGGAUUAGAUACCCGAGUAGUCCCUGUCUCUUAUAC